rnacentral:tRNA from 1 species
CUCCGUAUAGCACAGUUGGUAGUGUGCUUGCUUUGGGAGCAAGAAGUCACAGGUUCGAGUCCUGUUACGGAGA